UACGGGGGGGGCAAGCGUUGUUCGGAAUUACUGGGCGUAAAGGGCUCGUAGGCGGCCAACUAAGUCAGAUGUGAAAUCCCCAGGCUUAACCUGGAACUGCAUCUGAUACUGGAUGGCUUGAAUCCGGGAGAGGGAUGCAGAAUUCCAGGUGUAGCGGUGAAAUGCGUAGAUAUCUGGAGGAAUACCGGUGGCGAAGGCGGCAUCCUGGACCGGCAUUGACGCUGAGGAGCGAAAGCUAGGGGAGCAAACGGG
rnacentral:rRNA from 1 species